GGUAGCCGGCCUGAGAGGGCGACCGGCCACACUGGGANUGANACACNAGCCCAGACUCCUACGGGAGGCAGCAGUGGGGAAUAUUGCGCAAUGGGCGAAAGCCUGAYGCAGCGACGCCGCGUGAGGGANGAMGGCCUUCGGGUUGUAAACCUCUUUCAGCAGGGACGAAGCGAAAGUGACGGUACCUGCAGAAGAAGCACCGGCCAACUACGUGCCAGCAGCCGCGGUAAUACGUAGGGUGCAAGCGUUGUCCGGAAUUAUUGGGCGUAAAGAGCUCGUAGGCGGUCUGUCACGUCGGGUGUGAAAGCCCGGGGCUCAACCCCGGGUCUGCACUCGAUACGGGCA
rnacentral:rRNA from 1 species